GCAGUAGCCGCGGUAAUACGGAGGGUGCAAGCGUUAAUCGGAAUUACUGGGCGUAAAGCGCACGCAGGCGGUCUGACAAGUCAGAUGUGAAAUCCCCGGGCUUAACCUGGGAACUGCAUUUGAAACUGUCAGGCUGGAGUCUUGUAGAGGGGGGUGGAAUUCCAGGUGUAGCGGUGAAAUGCGUAGAGAUCUGGAGGAAUACCGGUGGCGAAGGCGGCCCCCUGGACAAAGACUGACGCUCAGGUGCGAAAGCGUGGGGAGCAAACAGGAUUAGAUACCCAGUAGUCCCUGUCUCUUAUACA
rnacentral:rRNA from 1 species